GGCUCGCAUCAGAAGGAAGGAAAUGAAUGCUAUGACCAAAGACUGAAGUUCUCUAUGAGUCCACAGCACUCAAUAGUGCUGUAUUUUCCUGAGGAGAUACAAGA
rnacentral:snoRNA from 1 species